UACGUAGGUGGCAAGCGUUGUCCGGAUUUACUUGGGCGUAAAGGGCUUGUAGGCGGUUUGUUAAGUCUGGUGUGAAAUCUCCCGGCUCAACCGGGAGGGGUCAUCGGAUACUGGCAGACUAGAGACGGGUAGAGGAAGCAGAAUUCCCGGUGUAGCGGUGAAAUGCGUAGAUAUCGGGAGGAAUACCAGUGGCGAAGGCGGCUUUCUGGGCCUGGUUCUGACGCGUGAGGAGCGAAAGCCGUGGGGCAAACCGGG
rnacentral:rRNA from 1 species